GUCGCCUUGCCGAUACUACAGAAAGAGGGUUUGAGAACUGCUCAAUCAAAAGCCCCCUAGUGCUCCGAAUGUCCGCUUGCAGUUUCUACAGAAAGAGUGUUUCAGAACUGCUCAACUAAAAGUCCCUUAGAGAUCCGAAUGUCCGCUUGCAGUUUCUACAGAAAGAGUGUUUCACAACUGCUCAA